rnacentral:misc_RNA from 1 species
GGAAGUAAAGGUCGUAACAAGGUCUCCGUUGGUGAACCAGCGGAGGGAUCAUUACUGGAAUCGCAAGAUCCCACAACCCUGUGAACCUACCGAAACGUUGCCUCGGCGGGUGCCCGGCCUCUGCGCCGGGCGCUGCGCCCGCCGGCGGCCCCCUACUCUGUCUCUGCAGCGUGGCAUCUCAGAGUCCCAGAAAACAAGUCAAAACUUUCAACAACGGAUCUCUUGGCUCUA